CUCGCCAACAAGAUCUCAGAAAAAAAAAAACACGCCACCAGACUCCUCGCCGCCGCGGUGCUUCUCUCGACGCCGUCCCGCCGAAGCAGCGCGCUCUCCCGUUUCUCCCCGACUCCGUCCGCGGAAGCAGAAAGCCCCCGUCCCGCUUCUACCCGAAUCCGCCCGGGGAAGCAGAAAAUCCCCUUCCCGCAUCUCCCCGACGGCUGACGACUGCGCGUCCCCUCCUGACGGCGAGGCGGCAGCGCGGAGUAGGGGAGGGGCGGCGAGUCGGGUGCUCGGAGCAGGCACCCAGGCGCGGUGGAGCAGCUGCAGUCGACAGCUUUAACCAUCCAAGGCCGCGGCAAGUUUUUCUCCCAAAUCCCAAAUCCCCAGGAGUGACGGCGCGCUAGGUUUUGCCCAUCGACGGCGCCCUCGCCCCGCGGGCACCCGCGACGCCGGACCACCAGACCGCCGUUGCACCGAGGUCGCCACCCUAACUUCCCCACCGGCCGCACAGCCAACGUUCUCGUAGUCCUUUGGUAUGGCCAGUAUGCCAAAUCUUAGCCAGACAGUACGAUGAAUGGAAAUGCUGAAGCUGAUUCUACCCUUGUUUUCGACAAAGAAACAUUGGAUAAAGUCUAUGAAAAAGUAGCUCCAUCGAUUGUGAAAGUCUUGCUAAAACCAUUUAGCACGGGAUUUGUUGUCUCGUCCACAGAGAAACAUAACAUGGUAGCUGUUUGUUCCAUGUUGUUAAUUGAGUGCAAAGAGAAGAUACGAGUCCGCUAUUCUGAUGGAGAUACUGCUGUUGUUGAUCAUACUGAAAAAGUCUCUAACAGUGAUAUGACUAUACUGUACGCACGUAAAACUGGAAAGGCACGUCCAGCAGUACAAUUUGGAGUCUUGGAGGAUAUCGUAUGCCAAAAGAUUGUGAGUCUUUUUCCUUACAAGGACGGCCUCAUGAUGUUCAAAGGUCACAUAGGUUUAGAUGAUUGUACCUGUGAGGAUUCCAGUGGGAACAUUAUUCCAGGCCAAAAUAUCUUCUCAUUCACUUGUCCUGUGGGGGGUUCUUACUCGAUACAUUUAUACAUUAUUCCAGGCCAACCUUUAAGCCGUGGUGCAGGGCAGAGAUUGUGAGAGCUUGCAAGUUGUCUUCCUACUUUCACGCUGAGGUCAAAGAAGAAGCUGGGUUCCUGGCACUCAACUGUUGGAGGGCGAGCAGUCCGGUGAUCUAUGAGUCAACCUGCAGAAGUGCCACGCAUCAGUUGGAUCAGUUGUCUUGGCAUCGGGGAUAACCUCGGUUAUCUUUGAGUGACUGGUUAGGUGCCGUCCUAGUUUGUUAACUUGUGUUGAACCUUAUUUCCUUUGUUGAUUUAGGUCAUGUCCUGGUUUAUCAACCCCUUGCUUGGUGUUGAACCUUAUGACCUCCGUUGAUUUAGGUCAUGUCCUAGUUUAUCAACUCCUUGCUGGGUGUUGAACCCUAUUACCUGAUUGUGUAUGUGAUAUCCUAAUUAUUUACUCUCUGCUGGUUGUUGAA